ACGAGAUCUGAUGGCUUUAUAAGUGUUUGGCAUUUCCUUCUUCGUUCCUCUUUUUCCUGCUGCCUCGUAAAGAAAGUUCCUGCUUCUUCUUCUGCCAUGAUUGUAAAUUUCCUGAGGCCUCUCCAGCCACGCAGAACUAUGGUGUCAGAAUUGGAACAUGAAGUAGAACUUCCAGUAACCCCUAGGAGCAUCAAGUGACCCAGAGAGGUAACCCCCUCCACCAGGGUCCAUUGCAUCCAUUGCUCUCUCACAGCAACUGAGGCUCAUGGUGGUAACUUUGUGAGACAAGCCUCAAAUUUUACCACUGUACCAAGAAAUGAAAGCCAGGAUGUGGAAUUGGAGCUGGUAAUGACGACGUCAGGACAGGUUCAAAGGAAGCCCAUCACUUGAGUAAAAAUUUAUAGCCCUGCUUGUGCUGUGCUGUGCUGUGCUGUGAGUUUCAGUUCCGGGCCAGCAAAAGAUUUAUCAAAGGAAAGCAACAAGGUGUGUGGAAAU